rnacentral:rRNA from 1 species
UACGGAGGGGGCUAGCGUUGUUCGGAAUUACUGGGCGUAAAGCGCACGUAGGCGGCUUUGUAAGUUAGAGGUGAAAGCCCGGGGCUCAACCCCGGAAUUGCCUUUAAGACUGCAUCGCUAGAAUUGUGGAGAGGUAAGUGGAAUUCCGAGUGUAGAGGUGAAAUUCGUAGAUAUUCGGAAGAACACCGGUGGCGAAGGCGGCUUCCUGGACCGACACUGACGCUGAGUGAGCGAAAGCCAGGGGAGCAAACGGG